rnacentral:rRNA from 1 species
CCUACGGGUGGCAGCAGUGGGGAAUAUUGGGCAAUGGAGGAAACUCUGACCCAGCAAUGCCGCGUGAAUGAAGAAGGUCUUCGGAUUGUAAAGUUCUGUCAGUGGGGACGAAAGAUGACGGUACCCACAGAGGAAGCACCGGCUAACUCCGUGCCAGCAGCCGCGGUAAUACGGAGGGUGCAAGCGUUGUCCGGAAUCAUUGGGCGUAAAGAGUUCGUAGGCGGUAUGUUAAGUCUGGUGUUAAAUGCAGAAGCUCAACUUCUGUUCGGCACUGGAUACUGGCAAACUAGAAUGCGGUAGAGGUAAAGGGAAUUCCUGGUGUAGCGGUGAAAUGCUUAGAUAUCAGGAGGAACAUCGGUGGCGUAAGCGCUUUACUGGGCCGUAAUUGACGCUGAGGAACGAAAGCCAGGGUAGCAAAUGGGAUUAGAUACCCGGGUAGUC